UUUCAUAAAUUUGAACAUAAAGAGAGUUAUGGAAAUAUUGGCAAUAGUAUUGGACGAAGAAUUAAAUAAAUUUGUAUAAUGGAUAAAUGUGGAUGAGUGGAAAUACAGGAAGAUGGUAUGGAGUUUUCGAUUAUCUAAGGAGUUCCUGAAAAUGGUUUUAUUAUUUUAAGUUUGCGGCGUGAAUUUAUGAAUUUGUUAACGGUUAAGAUAUUUUUAAAAAAUUAAGGAGGUGAUUAUACAAAUGUUUAUUAAUUUGAAAUGUUACUGAAGAUGACCUGAUGAGGGUCGAAACGUAUACAAUUUGAUGUAAUAAGUGAGAAUAACAUUCGCAAUAAUAACUAGCGUUGGCUUUUAUGCUUUGUCAUAUCUUAUUAUUAUUUUUGAAGAGAGAGUUCAAGAGUACGUGUAACCGUUCAGGGGUUACCUAAGAAACCCAAAAGAUCGAACGGGGCGAUUCAUCGUCAGCGGCGCUGGCUUCGCGUCGGUGGGCGAUGCCCCGCGGGGUCCUCGCGGCCCGUCCAGCGCGGACACGCUGCCGUGCGUCGAUGUCCUGCGUUCGUCGUCGUGCACUUCUCCCCUAGUAGAUCGUCGCGACCCGCUGAGUGUCGGUUUACGGCCCGGGUGCGGUGACUGACGCGUCGCCGGUAAAACGGCACCCGUCAAACCCUCGGGCGUCCGGCCGGCUGCCCGGUGGUACACGCAAGGUAUCAGGCCGCAACUCGCGCGCGCCACAGUACACGGAAGCUAACGGACCUAGCACCGUCACCGGUGCCAGGACUAUCCUGACCCCCUGUUGAUCGUACGGUUAACCUUCGACUGGCCUAUGAACAUUCCCCGCCUCGCGCGGAGGACCGAUACCGGUCGGCGACGCUACUACUUUGGGUACUCUUAUGACCCAUCUUGAAACACGAACUCAGGAAUCUAACAUGUACGCGAGUCAUUGGGACUUUGCGAUACCCAAAGGCAUAAUGAAAGUGAAGGUCGGCCCUGGUUGCCGACCGAGGGAGGAUGAAAGUUGCGAUGCGGCUCCUCACUCCCGGGGCGUCUCGUUCUCAUCGCGAGAAGAGGCGUACACGUUGGGACCCGAAAGAUGGUGAACUAUGCCUUGUCAGGACGAAGUCAGGGGAAACCCUGAUGGAGGUCCGUAGCGAUUCUGACGUGCAAAUCGAUCGUGGGAACUGGGGGGUGAUCCCGAUUGAUCACGGCUCGAUUGGACACCACCAAUCACAGUGACCGAUGCUUAGGACCUUUGUAGUCUCAAGCGCUGUGAGUGGCUCGUGUCCAAUUGAGCCGUGUCCAACUUGGUGCCACCCGGAACUGGGUAUAAUCGCGAAAGACUAAUCGAACCAUGUAGUAGCUGGUUCCUUCCGAAGUUUCCCUCAGGAUAGCUGGCACUCGGCCGUUCCGCACGGAACGCGCGCAAGUCUCAUCUGGUAAAGCGAAUGAGUAGAGGCCUUGGGGCCGUAACGAUCUCAACCUAUUCUCAAACUUUAUAUGGGUGAGAUCUCUGACUUUCUUGAACUAUGAAGUCACGAGUAUCUCGGAUCAGAGUGCCAAGUGGGCCAUUUUUAGGCAUUCUUUCAGUCACGCGAACGCCACAAAUCUAACUUAACCUGCGCAUAACCUUAGGCUGCGGUCCACUUGACGCUACAAACGCUUCGAAGCGUUCUUUGAUUAGUCAAUUCGCAAAAUUCUUUAUUCUGAUUGGUCGCUCAAACGCUUCGAAGCAUUUGUAGCGUCAAGUGGACCGCAACUUUAAUUAACGCGCAAGUCUCCGCAAUAUAUAAAUAUAUAUACAGGGUGACCCAUUUUAACUUAGACAGCCAAAUAACUCGAAACAU
rnacentral:ncRNA from 1 species